UGAGAGUGUGUGCGCACGCACGUGUGUGCCCAGAAAGAUAGAGGAAAAAAGACAGAAAAGCACACAAACAGUUUUGCUUUGAAGUUGCUACAUAAUUACUGUUAAGAUCUACCAAAAUGUACUGAGAGACAGCCCUGCUUACUCAAAUCUGGUGAUUGAGCAGGCAAGCAGCGUCUGGGAAGACUUAAGGAUGGAUGAAAUGGAAGCAUCGGAAGAAUGCAACCAAGGAAAUCAAGCCGAGGAAGAAAUGAAGAUAAGAUAAAACGGCUCAGUAAUCACCGUUCCUGGGUUUUCCAACCUCGAGUGAGGCCUUGAUUCCAAGUCUCUUUGCCCAGACAAUGACAAGCACCCAAUUGAAAAAUGGAUGAACUAAAGCUUUUCGCUGUUCUCCUGUCCAAAUUGGAUUGGUUACCCAAUUUGACUGAGUGCUUAGAAAUUAGUCAAUAAGGCAACUAAUUAAUAAUUUGACUGGGUGGGGGGAAUGGUGGAGGAGAAGUCAAUUUCUCAGCUGUACACAGAUGUAAGUCAGAGGAAACCUUGAGGCCCCUUACUACAUAAUUCUAGCAAAAGCCUGUUUUGAAAAUCUUGUAAGCUGAUUUAAAACAGGAAUUCUGGGUUUAGUUUACUUUGUAUUAAGCCUUUUCGUCUCAAUGAAAUAAUAUAGUGGAGAGAGAUAUCAAUGAAAUAAUAUAGUGGAGAGAGAUGAUAUACAGAGGAAAAAAACAAAGCUGUGAGAGUUAAUACAAGAUACAGUAAACAUAUAUUCUCUAUAAUAUAUAUUUAUAAACUAUAUUGUGUAAUAAUAUAGUCAUUAUAAUCAUAGUGCAGAAAGUAUUCAUGUAGAAGGUAUGUCCUAGGUAUGUGCUGAGUAAGUACUUUGAAAAUGUUAUCUUAUUUAAUCCUAUGAGGGAGGUGCUAUGAUACUAUGACCCCCAAUUUACAGGUAAGGUGACUGAAGCCCAGAGAGGUCAGCCAUUUAAAAACCAGGAUCAUAUAACAAUAAAAAGAAACAGCAAGAUUUUGAACCCA
rnacentral:lncRNA from 1 species